UGAGGAAUAUUGGUCAAUGGACGCAAGUCUGAACCAGCCAAGUAGCGUGCAGGAUGACGGCCCUAUGGGUUGUAAACUGCUUUUAUAUGGGGAUAAAGUGGGGAACGUGUUCCCUUUUGCAGGUACCAUAUGAAUAAGGACCGGCUAAUUCCGUGCCAGCAGCCGCGGUAAUACGGAAGGUUCGGGCGUUAUCCGGAUUUAUUGGGUUUAAAGGGAGCGUAGGCCGUUUGGUAAGCGUGUUGUGAAAUGUAGGAGCUCAACUUCUAGAUUGCAGCGCGAACUGUCAGACUUGAGUGCGCACAACGUAGGCGGAAUUCAUGGUGUAGCGGUGAAAUGCUUAGAUAUCAUGAAGAACUCCGAUUGCGAAGGUAGCUUACGGGAGCGCAACUGACGCUGAAGCUCGAAGGUGCGGGUAUCGAACAGG
rnacentral:rRNA from 1 species